CGUGGUUUUUUUAAUCAAUUCAAUACACAUGCAUUGCGCCUUUUGUGUUUUUUCAUAAAGUACUGUAUAUUUAUGACCCGCAACGAAGUUGUCAGUGCCAUAUAGUUUUACCCUUGUCCGUCAUUCCGUCUAUCCGUAAUUCCGUAAUUCCGAAAUUCCGUCAUUCCGCCAUUCCAUCAUUCCGCAACAAACCAUUAUACGGAGUUUUUUUUCUAAACGCCUUCAGAUAUUGGGCUGAUUUUUUAUAUGUAAGUUAACUAUGAUGAGUUACAGAUCUAGUUUAAGUUUUGUUCCGCUCCGCUCAUUUUUGCCGAAAUUACGGUCUUUGGACUUUGAUAAAUUGUUGAAUUAUACGGACUUUUUUCUAAACACUUUCAGAUAUUGAGAUGAUUUUGGUGAGUUAACCAAGAUGAGUUACAGAUCAAGCUAAAGUUUUGUUCCGUUCGGCUAAUUUUUGCCGAAAUUACGGACUAUGGACUUUGAUAAAUUGUUGAAAAUCACAGUUAUACGGAUUUUUUUUCUUAACGCUUUCAGAUAUUAUGCUGAUUUUUAGUAUGCAAGUUACUCAUGAUGAGUUGCAGAUUAAAUUUAAGUUUCGUUCCGCUCAGCUUAUUUUUGAUCUAAUUUUGGGCUUUGGACUUUGAUAAUUUUUUGAAAAUCACAGUUAUACGGACCUUUUUUCUAAAUGUUUUCAGAUCUUGGGCUGAUUUUUGGUAUGUGAGCCAACCAUGAUGAGUUACAGAUCAAGUUUAAGUUUCGUUCAGCUCCGCUAAUUUUUGCCAAAAUUAAGGGUUUACAACUUUGAAAAUUGUUGUAAACUACAGUGAUAUGGACAUUUUUCUAUACUCCUCCAGAUCUUGAGAUGAUUUUUGAUAUGUGAGACUACCAUCAUGUUUGUGUCCACUUGUGUUAUUGAAAUUGCAGAUUUUUCAAAUUUUUAAGAUGGGGCCAUUCGUGUCGCUUUGACACAUCUAGUUUCUUUAUAUUAUUGCACAGUAAUGUUGAGGAAGUUGAACCAUUUAGACAGACAUAUUUUUUGUUCGGAUUUGUUUCGCGUUUUGAAAAUUAAGCGAUUUUUUUCACAGAUUCUGAACUAGAAUUUACAUUUAAUGUCUUUCACGGUCCGGUACCAGAGCUUUCACGAUCGUCUCGCAAUACUUGACCAACGUUAGAUAUUCUUUCACAAUCAUUUCUCUCGUUAAACCGAAUGUCACCCGUGUACGUAUUCUAGUCAUUCAAAAAAUAAUA
rnacentral:lncRNA from 1 species